ACGCUGGGGGGGUGCCUAACACAUGCAAGUCGAACGGGAAACUUUGGAUUUCAGUGGGGGACGGGUGAGUAACGCGUAAGAAACUAACUUUAGGACGGGGACAACAGUUGGAAACGACUGCUAAAACCCCAUGUGCCCCAAGGUGAAACCUAAAUGGGCUGGAGAAGAGCUUGCGUCUGAUUAGCUAGUUGGUGGGGUAAGAGCCUACCAAGGGGACGAUCAGUAGCUGGUCUGAGAGGAUGAGCAGCCACACUGGGACUGAGACACGGGCCAGACUCCUACGGGAGGGAGCAGUGGGGAAAUUUUCGCAAAGGGGGAAAGCCUGACGGAGCAACGCCCCGUGAGGGAGGAAGGUCUUUGGAUUGUAAACCUCUUUUUUCAAGGAAGAAGUUUUGACGGUACUUGAGGAAACAGCCUCGGCUAACUCCCUGCCAGCAGCCCCGGUAAAACGGGGGAGGGAAGCGUUAUCCCGAAAUAUUGGGGGUAAAGCGUCCCCAGGUGGUCAGCCAAGUCUGCCCUCAAAACAGGUUGCUUAACGACCUAAAGGGGGUGGAAACUGGCAGACUAGAGAUCAGUAGGGGUAGCAGGAAAUCCCAGUGUAGCGGUGAAAAGCGUAGAGAUUGGGAAGAACAUCGGUGGGGAAAGCGUGCUACUGGGGUGUAUCUGACACUCAGGGACGAAAGCUAGGGGAGCGAAAGGGAUUAGAUACCCCUGUAGUCCUAGCCCUAAACGAUGGAUACUAGGGGUGGGUUGUAUCGACCCCAGCCCUGCCCAAGCUAACGCGUUAAGUAUCCCCCCUGGGGAGUACGCACGCAAGUGUGAAACUCAAAGGAAAUGACGGGGGGCCCCACAAGCGGUGGAGUAUGUGGUUUAAAUCGAUGCAACGCGAAGAACCUUACCAAGACUUGACAUGUCGCGAACCCUGGUGAAAGCUGGGGGUGCCUUUGGGAGCGCGAACACAGGUGGUGCAUGGGUGUCGUCAGCUCGUGUCGUGAGAUGUUGGGUUAAGUCCCCCAACGAGCGCACCCUCGUUUUUAGUUGCCAGCAUUAAGUUGGGGACUCUAAGGAGACUGCCCGUGACAAACCCGAGGAAGGUGGGGAUGACGUCAAGUCAGCAUGCCCCUUACGUCUUGGGGGACACACGUACUACAAAGGUCGGGACAAAGGGGAGCGAACUCGCGAGAGCCAGCGAAACCCAGCAAACCCCGGCUCAGUUUAGAUUGCAGGGUGCAACUCGCCUGCAUGAAGGAGGAAACGCUAGUAAACGCCCGUCAGCAUACGGGGGUGAAAUCGUUUCCCGGGCUUGUACACACCCCCCCUCACACCAUGGAAGCUGGUCACGCCCCAAGUCAUUACCUCAACCCCAAGGAGGGGGAUGCCUAAGGGAGGGGUAGUGACUGGGGUGAAGUCGUAACAAGGUAGCCCUACCCGAAGGUGUGGGUGGAUCACCUCCUUA
rnacentral:rRNA from 1 species